rnacentral:rRNA from 1 species
GAUGAACGCUAGCGCAGGCCUAACACAUGCAAGUCAGGGGUAACAUGAAAAGCUUGCUUUUCAGAUGACACCGGCGCACGGGUGCGUAACGCGUAUACAACCUACCUUUUAGCGGGGAAUAGCCCAGGGAAACUUGGAUUAAUGCCCCAUAGUAUAUAGACUUCUCCUGAAGUUUAUAUUAAACAUUUAUGGCUAUUAGAUGGGUAUGCGUCCUAUUAGUUAGUUGGUAAGGUAACGGCUUACCAAGGCAGCGAUAGGUAGGGGUCCUGAGAGGGAGAUCCCCACACUGGUACUGAGACACGGACCAGACUCCUACGGGAGGCAGCAGUGAGGAAUAUUGGACAAUGGGCGAGAGCCUGAUCCAGCCAUGCCGCGUGCAGGAAGACUGCCCUAUGGGUUGUAAACUGCUUUUACAGAGGAAGAACCACCCCCACGUGUGGGGGUUUGACGGUACUCUGCGAAUAAGGAUCGGCUAACUCCGUG